rnacentral:rRNA from 1 species
GCCAGAGGAAACUCUGGUGGAGGCUCGCAGCGGUUCUGACGUGCAAAUCGAUCGUCAAAUUUGGGUAUAGGGGCGAAAGACUAAUCGAACCAUCUAGUAGCUGGUUCCCUCCGAAGUUUCCCUCAGGAUAGCUGGAGCUCUUUUUUUCAGUUUUGUCAGGUAAAGCGAAUGAUUAGAGGUCUUGGGGCUGAAACAGCCUUAACCUAUUCUCAAACUUUAAAUAUGUAAGAAGUCCUUGUUACUUAAUUGAACGUGGACAGUUGAAUGAAACGUUAUUAGUGGGCCAUUUUUGGUAAGCAGAACUGGCGAUGCGGGAUGAACCGAACGAGGGGUUAAAGUGCCGGAAUAUACGCUCAUCAGACACCACAAAAGGUGUUGGUUCAUCUAGACAGCAGGACGGUGGCCAUGGAAGUCGGAAUCCGCUAAGGAGUGUGUAACAACUCACCUGCCGAAUGGACUAGCCCCGAAAAUGGAUGGCGCUCAAGCGGGUGACUGAUACCCAACCACUGUUGUAAACAAAAUCAAUGUGUAGGAGGGCAUGGUGGCUUGUGACACAGCCUUUGGUGAAAACCUAGGUGCAACAGCUUCUAGUGCAGAUCUUGGUGGUAGUAGCAAAUAUUCAA